rnacentral:tRNA from 1 species
GCUCUCGUAGCUCAGCGGAAUAGAGCAGCAGCCUUCUAAGCUGACGGUCGCAGGUUCAAAUCCUGCCGGGAGCG